GAUGAAGAACGUAGCGAAAUGCGAUAAGUAGUGUGAAUUGCAGAAUUCAGUGAAUCAUCGAAUCUUUGAACGCACAUUGCGCCCCUCGGUAUUCCGUGGGGCAUGCCUGUUCGAGCGUCAUUUAACCCCUCAAGCCUAGCUUGGUAUUGGGUGCUUGUCCCGCCUCUCGCGCGGCGACUCACCUCAAAGUCAUUGGCAGCCCGCAUCUCGCCGGCCGUGAGCGCAGCACAGACGCGCUCUUGGCAACGACGGAUCGGCUCUCCAAAAGCUUAUUUCAACCACUGACCUCGGAUUAGGUAGGGAUACCCGCUGAACUUAAGCAUACAAUAAGCGGAGGA
rnacentral:misc_RNA from 1 species